rnacentral:rRNA from 1 species
GCAAUAUCUCAAGUAAAGUGGCGCAAGGGUGAGUAAUAUGUAAGUAAUCUACCUAUGGGUUCGGAAUAACGUCGAGAAAUCGGCGCUAAUACCGAAUAAUGCAGCGGCAUCGCAUGAUGAUGUUGUUAAAGUUGUCCCGACUUGUCGGGAUAACUCCUAUAGAUGAGCUUGCAUCUGAUUAGCUAGUUGGUAGGGUAAUUGCCUACCAAGGCUACGAUCAGUAGCUGGUCUGAGAGGAUGAUCAGCCACACUGGAACUGAGACACGGUCCAGACUCCUACGGGAGGCAGCAGUGGGGAAUAUUGGGCAAUGGGCGAAAGCCUGACCCAGCAACGCCGCGUGAGGGAAGAAGGUCUUCGGAUUGUAAACCUCUGUCUUUGGGGACGAAAAAAAUGACGGUACCCAAGGAGGAAGCCCCGGCUAACUACGUGCCAGCAGCCGCGGUAAUACGUAGGGGGCAAGCGUUGUCCGGAAUUACUGGGCGUAAAGGGUGCGUAGGUGGUUGCCUAAGUCAGAUGUGAAAUCCCCGGGGCUUAACUCGGGUGGUAC